UACGGAGGGUGCAAGCGUUGCUCGGAAUCACUGGGCGUAAAGCGACCGCAGGCGGCCUGACAAGUCGGAUGUGAAAGCCCUGGGCUCAACUCAGGAAUUGCAUUCGAAACUGGCAGGCUCGAGUACGGGAGAGGGGGGUGGAAUUCCUGGUGUAGGGGUGAAAUUCGUAGAGAUCAGGAAGAACACCAGUGGCGAAGGCGCUCUGCUAGGCCGUAACUGACACUGAGGGACGAAAGCUAGGGGAGCGAAUGGG
rnacentral:rRNA from 1 species